UACGUAGGGUGCGAGCGUUGUCCGGAAUUAUUGGGCGUAAAGGGCUCGUAGGCGGUUUGUCACGUCGGGAGUGAAAACUCGGGGCUUAACCCCGAGCCUGCUUCCGAUACGGGCAGACUAGAGGUAUGCAGGGGAGAACGGAAUUCCUGGUGUAGCGGUGAAAUGCGCAGAUAUCAGGAGGAACACCGGUGGCGAAGGCGGUUCUCUGGGCCUUACCUGACGCUGAGGAGCGAAAGCGUGGGGAGCGAACAGG
rnacentral:rRNA from 1 species